UACGGAGGGUGCGAGCGUUGUCCGGAAUCAUUGGGCGUAAAGGGCGCGUAGGUGGCCCGGUCAGUUCGUGGUGAAAGCGCGGGGCUCAACCCUGCGUCGGCCAUGAAUACUGCCGCGGCUGGAGCACUGUAGAGGCAGGCGGAAUUCCCGGUGUAGCGGUGAAAUGCGCAGAUAUCGGGAAGAACACCCGUGGCGAAGGCGGCUCUCUGGGACGGUACUGACGCUGAGACGCGAAAGCGUGGGGAGCGAACAGG
rnacentral:rRNA from 1 species